UACGAAGGGGACUAGCGUUGUUCGGAAUUACUGGGCGUAAAGCGCACGUAGGCGGAUUUGUUAGUCAGGGGUGAAAUCCUGGAGCUCAACUCCAGAACUGCCUUUGAUACUGGAGAGCUUGAGUCCGGGAGAGGUGAGUGGAACUCCGAGUGUAGAGGUGAAAUUCGUAGAUAUUCGGAAGAACACCAGUGGCGAAGGCGGCUCACUGGCCCGGUACUGACGCUGAGGUGCGAAAGCGUGGGGAGCAAACAGG
rnacentral:rRNA from 1 species